AUUGAACGCUGGCGGCAGGCCUAACACAUGCAAGUCGAACGAGUGGCGGACGGGUGAGUAAUGUCUGGGAAACUGCCUGAUGGAGGGGGAUAACUACUGGAAACGGUAGCUAAUACCGCAUACCAUCGGAUUUGCCCAGAUGGGAUUAGCUUGUUGGUGGGGUAACGGCUCACCAAGGCGACGAUCCCUAGCUGGUCUGAGAGGAUGACCAGCCACACUGGAGCUGAGGCACGGUCCAGACGCCUACGGGAGGCAGCAGUGGGGAAUAUUGCACAAUGGGGGCAAGCCUGAUACAGCCAUGCCGCGUGUAUGAAGAGGGCCUUCGGGUUGUAAAGUACUUUCAGCGGGGAGGCGUUACCCGCAGAAGAAGCACCGGCUAACUCCGUGCCAGCAGCCGCGGUAAUAC
rnacentral:rRNA from 1 species